rnacentral:rRNA from 1 species
GAUGAACGCUAGCGACAGGCCUAACACAUGCAAGUCGAGGGGCAGCAUGAAAUUAGCUUGCUAAUUUUGAUGGCGACCGGCGCACGGGUGAGUAACACGUAUGCAACCUGCCUGUAAGCGGGGGAUAACCCGGAGAAAUUCGGACUAAUACCGCAUAAUAUCAUUGAUUCGCAUGUUUCAAUGAUUAAAAAUUUAUUGCUUACAGAUGGGCAUGCGUAUGAUUAGCUAGUUGGCGGGGUAACGGCCCACCAAGGCGACGAUCAUUAGGGGUUCUGAGAGGAAGGUCCCCCACAUUGGAACUGAGACACGGUCCAAACUCCUACGGGAGGCAGCAGUGGGGAAUAUGGCACAAUGGGCGCAAGCCUGAUGCAGCCAUGCCGCGUGUAUGAAGAAGGCCUUCGGGUUGUAAAGUACUUUCAGCGGGGAGGAAGGCGGUGAAGUUAAUAACUUCACCGAUUGACGUUACCCGCAGAAGAAGCACCGGCUAACUCCGUGCCAGCAGCCGCCGUAAUAC